CAAGGCACUGAAAAUGCCAAGAUGAGUCAUAUGACUCCAUAAACA
rnacentral:tRNA from 1 species